UAGAUAUAGUUUAUAAAAAUCCUAGUCUGUGAAUCUAGAGAUGAGAGCUAAUUACUUUCUAUUUACC
rnacentral:tRNA from 1 species